AGAGUUUGAUCCUGGCUCAGAUUGAACGCUGGCGGCAGGCCUAACACAUGCAAGUCGAGCGGUAGAGAGAAGCUUGCUUCUCUUGAGAGCGGCGGACGGGUGAGUAAAGCCUAGGAAUCUGCCUGGUAGUGGGGGAUAACGUUCGGAAACGGACGCUAAUACCGCAUACGUCCUACGGGAGAAAGCAGGGGACCUUCGGGCCUUGCGCUAUCAGAUGAGCCUAGGUCGGAUUAGCUAGUUGGUGAGGUAAUGGCUCACCAAGGCGACGAUCCGUAACUGGUCUGAGAGGAUGAUCAGUCACACUGGAACUGAGACACGGUCCAGACUCCUACGGGAGGCAGCAGUGGGGAAUAUUGGACAAUGGGCGAAAGCCUGAUCCAGCCAUGCCGCGUGUGUGAAGAAGGUCUUCAGAUUGUAAAGCACUUUAAGUUGGGAGGAAGGGCAUUAACCUAAUACGUUAGUGUUUUGACGUUACCGACAGAAUAAGCACCGGCUAACUCUGUGCCAGCAGCCGCGGUAAUACAGAGGGUGCAAGCGUUAAUCGGAAUUACUGGGCGUAAAGCGCGCGUAGGUGGUUUGUUAAGUUGGAUGUGAAAUCCCCGGGCUCAACCUGGGAACUGCAUUCAAAACUGACUGACUAGAGUAUGGUAGAGGGUGGUGGAAUUUCCUGUGUAGCGGUGAAAUGCGUAGAUAUAGGAAGGAACACCAGUGGCGAAGGCGACCACCUGGACUAAUACUGACACUGAGGUGCGAAAGCGUGGGGAGCAAACAGGAUUAGAUACCCUGGUAGUCCACGCCGUAAACGA
rnacentral:rRNA from 1 species